AGCCCAGCAACUCCUACCCCUACUUCCUCGUGGUACUGGCCGGGGUACGAGUAACCUUGGGGAAGAUCGGGUAACCAACUCCCGGUGGGAAAUUUGGUCGUAUGCUGGCAGGGAAGG
rfam:Aedes aegypti strain Liverpool supercont1.214 genomic scaffold, whole genome shotgun sequence.